rnacentral:rRNA from 1 species
CCCUUAGAUGUUCUGGGCCGCACGCGCGCUACACUGACGGAGGCAGCGAGCAUGUCCUUCGCCGAGAGGUGUGGGGAAUCUUGUGAGUCUCCGUCGUGCUGGGGAUAGAUGGUUGCAAUUGUCGAUCUUGAACGAGGAAUUCCUAGUAAGCGCGAGUCAUCAGCUCGCGCUGAUUACGUCCCUGCCCUUUGUACACACCGCCCGUCGCUACUACCGAUUGAAUCGUUUAGCGAGAAUUUUGGAUCGGAGCCCUGGUGGGCAGCGAUGUCCGCCUGGGAUCUACCGAGAAAUCAUUCCAGCUUGCCGAUUUAGAGGAAGUAAAAGUCGUAACA